AUUAUUUUAUUUAAUUUUAAAUGUAUAGUAGACUGUGAGUUGUAUAUGUUUUGUUGAUAUUAUCUAUAUUGUUUAGUGUUUAAGAUUAUACACUUGUAGUUUGAUUGUUAAUUUAAGAGUUUCACAUGUAGUAUACCAUCUUGUAUUAAUAUCGAUCUAAAUCCGUCAAUUCUAUGAUUUUCCAGCUUGUAUUAAAAAUUGAAUCACAUCUAAUAUGUUAUUAACUAUUGUAGUAUAUAAGAUUAUAAAUUUUCAAUAUAAUAUGUAUGAAAUUGAAUAUAUAUAUUUCAAAUUUAUGUCCCGUUACUCAGUAGAAAGUUUUCUUAAAUAUCUUUUUCACCCGUUAUAAUAUUAUUCAUGUAUUGAACAGUUUAUAUUCGUUUUUAAAAAUUCAAAUUAUGGCAUAUGCGAAAAAACUCUAAUUAUUUUUUUAUAAUGAUGAUAUUAUUUUUCCGUAAAAAUAGAAUCAUAUCAAGAUGAGAAGUGAACUAUAAUAAUUAAGAAAAAAUUAAUAUGAUAAUUUAGAUACCAAAUAUAGUUUGUUGAUUUUAAUUGGCU
rnacentral:sRNA from 1 species